UAGGUGUUGCACACGCGUGGGAAAGUAGG
rnacentral:piRNA from 1 species